GGCCCUAUGGUAUAGUGGUAUGUACAGCUGCUCAAAAUAAUACUAUCGAGUCGAUCUUAGCAGCCGGUUUGAGUUUGAUUCCCAAUGGGGCCC